rnacentral:lncRNA from 1 species
GAAAGUGAUGUCACAGAGGCAGAGGGAGGAGUUUCUGAGAAGAGGGAAUGGCCACAGUGCAAACAGCUCAGCAAUAACAGCGGAGGUGACAGAAAGUGUCAAAGCCAACUAUUCACUGGAGGCAAAGUCUGAACACUUCAAAUGAGAUUUAGUGACUCAUCCGUGGGCAGGCCAGGGCUCUGAGAAUCCCUGCAGGUUAUACACUGACAGUCCAGCUAAUCUUAGGAAGAGGGACAAGAAUUGGAAACCAAGGCGUGGAGAGCUUAAGUAAGCUGCCCAAGGUCACUCAGCUAGUGAAUGGUGGAGCUGGGAGUCUCACCCGGCAGGAGGCCAGCGAGGCUGGAGCUGGUGGGUGAGGACCAGAAUGGCAGGAGAUCGAGCCACGUGGAGGGUCUGGGUCACGUCCAGCCUUGCAGGCCAUGGAAAAGGCAUUGAAUUUUAUCCUAUGUGCCAUGAGAAAUCGUUGAAAAGAUUUGAGCAGGAUAGUGCAUGACUUAAUGUGUGCGUGAAAAAGCCUGUGAUGAACUUUGUUCUUUUAAAAAUAAAAUCAUUAUAAUUUAUGAUUGUGAAACCUACAUGUUCAUUUGGAAAACACAGAAAAGCAUAAAAUCGAAAACCAAAAUCACCUCUAAUCCCACCCUCCGAAGAAAACAGGCCUCAGCCACAAAGAACCAGCCAUCCUGGCCAACUCAGAAUGUGGAGACAUCGUCCUUCUGUGCUGUUCCAUGCACAUUUCUCCUCCUCAUCUUCCCUUCUGCCUUGACUGGAUCAUAAUUCUGACGUGAGAGGAUGAGUACGUUGUAUGCUUGGCCUAUCCCAACUGUUCAUAAUUACAAUACACCACCAAUUUUGUAUCAGGCAAAGCACUUUUUAUAUGCAUCCUUUAAAUUAAUCCUACCUACAGUCCUCUGAGGGGAGUCAUAUUAGCUCUUUUACUGAUGGAGAAAUGGAAGUUCAGAGAAGUAACAACAGCUAGAAAGUGGCAGAGCCAGUUGACCUUGAGUACGUCAGACCCCAAAUUGCAUGCGUUUAAUCCCUUCUUACAGCCUAUGUCCCCUUAAAACUCUCUAUCAUCAAUCCACUUUGUUGGUGGUAGUAGUUUACUCUCCACCUGACCCUAGGAUUGGGCUGGGCUGAGGUACAAGCACAGGUUGUUGGUGAGGCCAACCAGCCCUAAAGCCAGGGGUAUUUAAGAUGUGCAAACAGUGGGU